rnacentral:rRNA from 1 species
ACAGUGGACGCGAGCAUCUUUGUUGUAAGUGUUUAAGAGCGUACGGUGGAUGCCUUGGCACCAGGAGCCGAUGAAGGACGUAGGAGGCUGCGAUAAGCCUCGGGGAGCUGUCAACCGAGCUGAGAUCCGAGGAUGUCCGAAUGGGGAAACCCAGCCACAGUGAUGUGUGGUUACCCGCGCCUGAAUAUAUAGGGCGUGUGGAGGGAACGUGGGGAAGUGAAACAUCUCAGUACCCACAGGAAGAGAAAACAACAUGUGAUUCCGUGAGUAGUGGCGAGCGAAAGCGGAAGAGGCUAAACCAUGGGUGUGUGAUAGCCGGCGGGCGUUGCAUUCGUGGGGUUGUGGGAUCCGUCUUGUCAAUUCUGCCGGAUUGGCCGACAGUGAGAAAUCAUCGUGUUAGUCGAAGUGGUCUGGAACGGCCUGUCGUAGAGGGUGAGAGUCCCGUAGACGAAAACAUGGUGACUGUCGUGACGGACACCCGAGUAGCAGCGGGCCCGUGAAAUCUGCUGUGAAUCUGUCGGGACCACCCGAUAAGCCUGAAUACUCCCUGGUGACCGAUAGCGGACUAGUACCGUGAGGGAAAGGUGAAAAGUACCCCGGGAGGGGAGUGAAAUAGUACCUGAAACCGUGCGCUUACAAUCCGUCAGAGCCUGCGCCACUUUUGGUGGGUGGGUGAUGGCGUGCCUUUUGAAGAAUGAGCCUGCGAGUUAGCGGCAUGUCGCGAGGUUAACCCGUGUGGGGUAGCCGUAGCGAAAGCGAGUCCGAAUAGGGCGUUUGUAGUGGCAUGUUCUAGACCCGAAGCGGAGUGAUCUACCCAUGGCCAGGGUGAAGCGACGGUAAGACGUCGUGGAGGCCCGAACCCACUUAGGUUGAAAACUGAGGGGAUGAGCUGUGGGUAGGGGUGAAAGGCCAAUCAAACUCCGUGAUAGCUGGUUCUCCCCGAAAUGCAUUUAGGUGCAGCGUCGCGUGUUUCACUCUGGAGGUAGAGCUACUGGAUGGCCGAUGGGCCCCACAAGGUUACUGACGUCAGCCAAACUCCGAAUGCCAGAGUGUGAGAGCGCGGCAGUGAGACUGCGGGGGAUAAGCUUCGUAGUCGAGAGGGAAACAGCCCAGAUCGCCGGCUAAGGCCCCUAAGCGUGUACUAAGUGGAAAAGGAUGUGGGGUCGCGAAGACAACCAGGAGGUUGGCUUAGAAGCAGCCACCCUUGAAAGAGUGCGUAAUAGCUCACUGGUCAAGUGAUCCUGCGCCGACAAUGUAGCGGGGCUCAAGUACACCGCCGAAGCCGCGGCAUUCACAUAACACCCAUGCGGGUCUACGGGCCUGUGUGCAGUGGUGUGGAUGGGUAGGGGAGCGUCGUGCAGCCAUGGAAGCGCCGGAGUGAUCCAGGUGUGGAGGCUGCACGAGUGAGAAUGCAGGCAUGAGUAGCGAAAGACGAGUGAGAAACUCGUCCGCCGAAUGACCAAGGGUUCCUGGGCCAGGUUAAUCCGCCCAGGGUGAGUCGGGACCUAAGGCGAGGCCGACAGGCGUAGUCGAUGGACAACGGGUUGAUAUUCCCGUACCCGUGUGAACGCGCCCCUGGUGAAUCAGUGAUGCUAAGCGCCCUGAAGCCGCCUUCGAACCUUCGGGUUCUCCGGUGUGUGGAUGCGCGUGAACCGAUCUGGUAGUAGCCAAGCGAUGGGGUGACGCAGGAAGGUAGCUGAGCCAGUCAGUGGUAAUACUGGUGUAAGCGUGUAGGGCGUGACCUAGGCAAAUCCGGGUCACACACAGCCUGAGACGUGAUGCGUAGCCGAUUGAGGCGAAUUCAGUGAUCCUAUGCUGCCGAGAAAAGCCUCUAGCGAGCUUUCACACGGCCCGUACCCCAAACCGACACAGGUGGUCAGGUAGAGAAUACUAAGGCGAUCGAGAUAACUGUGGUUAAGGAACUCGGCAAAAUGCCCCCGUAACUUCGGGAGAAGGGGGGCCUCGUCUGGUGACGGAACUUGCUUCCUGAGCUGGGUGGGGCCGCAGAGACCAGAGAGAAGCGACUGUUUACUAAAAACACAGGUCCGUGCGAAGUCGUAAGACGAUGUAUACGGACUGACGCCUGCCCGGUGCUGGAAGGUUAAGAGGACCGGUUAGCCAGUAAUGGCGAAGCUGAGAAUUUAAGCCCCAGUAAACGGCGGUGGUAACUAUAACCAUCCUAAGGUAGCGAAAUUCCUUGUCGGGUAAGUUCCGACCUGCACGAAUGGCGUAACGACUUCUCUGCUGUCUCAACCACAGACUCGGCGAAAUUGCAUUACGAGUAAAGAUGCUCGUUACGCGCGGCAGGACGAAAAGACCCCGGGACCUUCACUAUAGCUUGGUAUUGGUGUUCGGUUCGGUUUGUGUAGGAUAGGUGGGAGACUGUGAAGCGGGCACGCCAGUGUUCGUGGAGUCGUUGUUGAAAUACCACUCUGAUCGUAUUGGACAUCUAACCUCGGACCAUGAUCUGGUUCAGGGACAGUGCCUGGUGGGUAGUUUAACUGGGGCGGUUGCCUCCCAAAAUGUAACGGAGGCGCCCAAAGGUUCCCUCAGCCUGGUUGGCAAUCAGGUGUCGAGUGCAAGUGCACAAGGGAGCUUGACUGUGAGACUGACAGGUCGAGCAGGGACGAAAGUCGGGACUAGUGAUCCGGCACCGGCAAGUGGAAGCGGUGUCGCUCAACGGAUAAAAGGUACCCCGGGGAUAACAGGCUGAUCUUCCCCAAGAGUCCAUAUCGACGGGAUGGUUUGGCACCUCGAUGUCGGCUCGUCGCAUCCUGGGGCUGGAGUAGGUCCCAAGGGUUGGGCUGUUCGCCCAUUAAAGCGGCACGCGAGCUGGGUUUAGAACGUCGUGAGACAGUUCGGUCUCUAUCCGCCGCGCGCGUUAGAAACUUGAGGAAGGCUGUCCCUAGUACGAGAGGACCGGGACGUGACGAACCCUGGUGUGGCCAGUUGUUCCGAAGGAGCACCGCGUUAGCUCGUUCGGCGGGAUAACCGCUGAAAGCAUCUAAGCGGGAAGCCUGUUCCUGGGUGAGGAU